AAGAAGAAGAAGCAGAGAGGGAGAGCUUCGUCGGUCUCUCCUGUCGAUCUCUUCGUCUCCCUCUCGAGUUCAACCUCCCUCUCUUUCUCAAAUCGGCAUCAACUCCUUUCUCUACAUGGUGAAAUAUUAAACAGCUCCUUUGUCAUUGCAACAAUCAAGGGCCUGCGCUUUGUUUUAGAGCAAAUUCAGGAGCUAAAGCGAGAAAUUAGCAAAGCACGCAUACGGAUGAUGAAACCGUUCAUCAAGGGUCCAGCUUGGGUAACUAUCCUUUUUAUUUAUUCUUUAUAUUCUUUGAAUUUGUAGCUAUAGUUCAACCAAGUGUGGUCCAAGGCAACUCUAAGCAUUUGAAGGAGGAGUGCAAGUGAUCCAAGGUUGGAGUACAUAUAGCCUCACUAGGCAUGGUAUUAACAGAUUUGCUUCUAAGGUAACUUUGGUGGCAGUUCCAAAUGCCUUAAUGCCUGUAGCUUUCCUCCUGAAAAUUAAUGUAUUUUGGAUGAGUUC